UACCAGCUCUCCGAGUGGUGUGGAUGUUUAUUGGGCCUAAAGCAUCCGUAGCUGGCUGGGCAAGUCCCCUGUUAAAUCCACCGAUUUAAUCGUUGGAGUGCGGGGGAUACUGUUCGGCUAGGGGACGGGAGAGGCAGACGGUAUUUUCGGGGUAGGGGUGAAAUCCUAUAAUCCCGGGAAGACCACCAGUGGCGAAGGCUGUCUGCUAGAACGCGCCCGACGGUGAGGGAUGAAAGCUGGGGGAGCGAACCGGAUUAGAUACCCGGGUAGUCCCAGCUGUAAACGAUGCAGGCUAGGUGUUUGGGCGGCCACGUGCCGCUCUAGUGCCGCAGGGAAGCCGUUAAGCCUGCCGCCUGGGGAGUACGGCCGCAAGGCUGAAACUUAAGGAAUUGGCGGGGAGCACCACAAGGGGUGAAGCUUGCGGUUU
rnacentral:rRNA from 1 species